rnacentral:rRNA from 1 species
ACGCGGCCUAUCAGCUUGUUGGUGGGGUAAUGGCCUACCAAGGCGACGACGGGUAGCCGGCCUGAGAGGGCGACCGGCCACACUGGGACUGAGACACGGCCCAGACUCCUACGGGAGGCAGCAGUGGGGAAUAUUGCACAAUGGGCGAAAGCCUGACGCAGCGACGCCGCGUGAGGGACGAAGGUCUUCGGAUUGUAAACCUCUUUCAGCAGGGAUGAAGCGAAAGUGACAGUACCUGCAGAAGAAGCACCGGCUAACUACGUGCCAGCAGCCGCGGUAAUACGUAGGGUGCAAGCGUUGUCCGGAUUUAUUGGGCGUAAAGAGCUCGUAGGCGGUCUGUCGCGUCGGAUGUGAAAACCCAAUGGCUUAACCUUGGGCCUGCAUUCGAUACGGGCAGACUAGAGUGUGGUAGGGGAAACUGGAACUCCUGGUGUAGCGGUGGAAUGCGCAGAUAUCAGGAAGAACACCGAUGGCGAAGGCAGGUUUCUGGGCCAUAACUGACGCUGAGGAGCGAAAGCGUGGGGAGCGAACAGGAUUAGAUACCCUGGUAGUCAACGCCGUAAACGGUGGGCGCUAGGUGUGGGGAACAUUUUCACGUUCUCCGUGCCGUAGCUAACGCAUUAAGCGCCCCGCCUGGGGAGUACGG